GGGAAGCCCAAGCAGAGCAGCAGUGAAAGAUGCUGUUUGAUCUCCUGAGCAUGUCCAGCAGUCUUUAUUAGUAAGCCUGACACAGCUCCAAUGAUCUUCAAUGCAGAGAAACAGCUAUAAGUGUAGUAGCACCUCAUCUAGAGGGAUUCUCACAGCACAACCCCAUUUAGAGCACCGUGGUGUCAGAGUUGCCUUCGUUUGGGUGAGAUGUUAAAACCAAGACCCUAUCUGGCUUGUUAGUUGGUCGUAAAAUAUUCCAUGGCCCGUUGCUUCAAAGAAGAACUGGAGUUCUCCAAGGCAUUCUGGACAAUGUUUAUCCAUCAACGAACAUCAUUAAAAUAAGUUUAGGUUUGUUUAUAGAUGCAGUGUGGAAACAGGCCCUUCAGCCCAAAUUGUCCGUGCCGACCAGUGAUCCCCUCCAUAAAU